rnacentral:rRNA from 1 species
UACGGAGGGUGCGAGCGUUGUCCGGAAUCACUGGGCGUAAAGGGCGCGUAGGCGGCGCGGGCAGUCAACGGUGAAAGUUCGGGGCUCAACCCUGAAUCGGCCGUCGAUACUCCCGGGCUUGAGCACUGUAGAGGCAGAUGGAAUUCCGGGUGUAGCGGUGGAAUGCGUAGAGAUCCGGAAGAACACCAGUGGCGAAGGCGGCCCGCUGGGCAGUGGCUGACGCUGAGGCGCGACAGCGUGGGGAGCAAACAGG